rnacentral:misc_RNA from 1 species
CAAGAAAGCAGUGCAAAAAGAACUCACAAAAUACAUGGCCAAAAAGAACAAAAAGGUGUUCAAGUAUUGCUGCUUCUAAUCCAACAUGGAGCCAAUGGUCUUAAUCUUUUAGAAGCACAGUAUGUUGUUCUUUUAGAGCCUCUACUUAAUCCUGCAGCAGAAGCACAAGCAAUCAGCCGGGUACACCGAAUUGGGCAGGAAAAUAAGACCCUGGUCCAC